rnacentral:rRNA from 1 species
UCAGCCACAUCGGGACUGAGACACGGCCCGAACUCCUACGGGAGGCAGCAGUGGGGAAUAUUGGACAAUGGGGGAAACCCUGAUCCAGCCAUGCCGCGUGUGUGAAGAAGGCUUUCGGGUUGUAAAGCACUUUCAGUGAGGAGGAAGGCCUUGUCGCUAAUAUCGGCAAGGAUUGACGUUACUCACAGAAGAAGCACCGGCUAACUCCGUGCCAGCAGCCGCGGUAAUACGGAGGGUGCAAGCGUUAAUCGGAAUUACUGGGCGUAAAGCGCGCGUAGGUGGUUUGUUAAGCGAGAUGUGAAAGCCCCGGGCUUAACCUGGGAACGGCAUUUCGAACUGGCAGACUAGAGUGUGGUAGAGGGUAGUGGAAUUUCCUGUGUAGCGGUGAAAUGCGUAGAUA